rnacentral:misc_RNA from 1 species
AAGACACGAGGGCGAUCAGGGAAAAGGAAGACGCGAGAGAGGGUCAGAAAGAAACUCUGGACGCCAGCUGGAAGGGAGAACCGCGAUCGUUCGAUGCCAUAGUGGGGCGUCAGAUCGGUUGUACGCGUGGAAAAUGGGACUGGUUUUUAUCGGAAUCGCCUGGUGCACCUCCUGCGGGAGGGGACAUGACGUAUCCCUUUGGCCCGCUGGUCGCGCGCGCGCACUGGUACCAACACGAGGAACCAAGCGAACCAACGUUCCUGCCGGUUCGACCGGCGAUCCAUCAUCGUAAAAAGUGUUUCUCUCCUCCUCGCGUUGCGGCACCGCUUGUGUAGAUCUGGCUGGUCACGAGUCGACGGUUCGUCUGGGUCGUCGACGAUCAUCCGCCGAUCGAUCGAUCGAUCGUAUCGCGUCGGUCAG